UAGUCCUGUGCAAUUUUGUCGGCAUAAUUCCAAAACAAAUCGAUCAAGCUGUUGUUGUAGUGAAUUGGUGGUUUCAUUUUCACUAAAUCGUCGGUUAUACAAGCUGUAUUGAUUUCUCUUUCGUCUGCUCAAAUCGUGUAAUCACAUUAUUUUGCUGGAUAAAUUCACUUUCGUUCGAGUAUCAACACCGCUGUUUCGCAACGCGUAAACUGCCCUCAUCGCUCAUCGAAAGUAAAUUUGCAAUCGCGAUGCCAAAGCAAUCCGCAAUUGUGUUCAAUAAGACUUACUAACGCCGAAGCCGGGGAGCCACCACCACCGCGAUAUCACUUCAGGAAGCAAACCCAAAGUGUACUAAAGUAAACUACAUCGCAAUUCGCCCAGAGGCUGUCCACGCAUUCCUCUGCGGGGCUCUACAGCAUUCAAUCGGAGGAAUGUCUGGAAAGGAUGGACGAGACAGUAGCGGGUAGGAGAGGCCCACAAAAAACGCGACGUCUACCGAUCGACAGCGUUCCACUGUUCCAGUCAAGGUCGUUGUCUUCAGGGCCUAAGAUUCAGAAAUCUUGUUAUAGCAGAAGAAUAAGACCGCGGACCCAUAAAAAUGUUUUCUCCGCAUGUCCUUCUAAAGGAACUACAAAGUUUUUCGUCUCGAAUUUGCCUUCUAAGCCAUUUUUGUAUUUGUACAUGCAACACAUGUAUGUUU